rnacentral:tRNA from 1 species
AGGGGUAUAGCUCAGUGGUAGAGCACUUGCGUGGCUUGUGAGGCCUGGGUUCAAUCCCUAGCAUCUCAA